GAUGAACGCUGGCGGCGUGCCUAAUACAUGCAAGUAGAACGCUGGAGGAGGAGCUUGCUCUUCUGGAUGAGUUGCGAACGGGUGAGUAACGCGUAGGUAACCUGCCUGGUAGCGGGGGAUAACUAUUGGAAACGAUAGCUAAUACCGCAUGACAACAGUUAUUGCAUGAUAACUGUUUAAAAGGGGCAACUGCUCCACUACCAGAUGGACCUGCGUUGUAUUAGCUAGUUGGUGAGGUAACGGCUCACCAAGGCGACGAUACAUAGCCGACCUGAGAGGGUGAUCGGCCACACUGGGACUGAGACACGGCCCAGACUCCUACGGGAGGCAGCAGUAGGGAAUCUUCGGCAAUGGACGGAAGUCUGACCGAGCAACGCCGCGUGAGUGAAGAAGGUUUUCGGAUCGUAAAGCUCUGUUGUAAGAGAAGAACGAGUGUGAGAGUGGAAAGUUCACACUGUGACGGUAUCUUACCAGAAAGGGACGGCUAACUACGUG
rnacentral:rRNA from 1 species